UCCUGGAAUGGGAGGAUGGAGGCUAUGUGCUUUACAACCCUACCAGGAUCCUGGCCCUGGAUGGGUGGCAGAGCAGGAUGUUAGGAGUUAUAGUUCACCCAAAGAACCAGAAGAUGAAAAAAAAAAAAAAAAGGUAGUAAACAGACAAAAACUAUAAUUACCACUGUCCCCUAUGCUUCAUUAAUGUACACUUUUAUAAUUCUAAUGGACAUAUAGACAACUAUGUAUCAAAAGCUUUUUAAGCUAAAUAUUGGACCAAUGCAUGAAGACGUAUUUUAACAGAUUUAAAGAAAGCACUAUUUGUAAGAGCCAAAAAUUUUUUUAAUCUAAUAGGGUUUAGUUAAAUCUUAAUUUGUUAUUUCCUUCUUUAGUUUCUAUAGUGUAAUAGUUGAAAGAAACUUUUUAAGAUGGGAGAGCUGCGAACAAAACAGGUUUGAACCAUGUGGGAUUCCAUUUCAACCAAAUGCAGCAUUCCCCGGAUGUAAAACCCAUGUAUAUGGAGGGCCAGCUUUUUUUACACUCGGGUUCCACAGGAUCAACAGUGGGACUUGAGUAUGCAUGGAUUUUGAUAUAUGCAGCAGGUUCUAGAACCAAGCCUUCAUGUUUACUGAGGGAGGGAUGACUACCUUUUGUCAUGAACUGUAAAGCAUUUAAACUUUUACCCUUCUUGUAAGCUAAUAAAUUAAUCUGCUGGUUUCAUGGAUGCUGGCAGAAGUCACAAAAAUCCUAGUUAGGAGACAAAGUACUUUAUUGCUUAUAGCACAGAAAGCAGCAUGAGCAUCAGCAUAUUUGUCAGUUCCUCUUGCCCCCAACUCCCACAGGGAAUAUGUAAUGGACCCAAAUGCCACCUGCACACUUAGUGGGUUGCACUGCAAAAGAGAAACCCAGAUCCAAGGGUCCAAAUUUCUUGAACAAGCAGCAAACAAGCCAAUCUCCCUUACCCUGAUGGUGAGCAGUUACACGAGAGUCAUUGUACAGUUACCCUGACCCACUUAAUUGUCUAUGUGUCUAGCUGCAAAAAUGCUCAGUCUCAGGAGACAGAUAAGACUUGCAAUCUGGCAUACUUAGCAAAAUUAUGCAGGGACACUCAGGACCAAGACAGAUCUUCCUCUUCUAACCAUCCACCCUUAAACGUUCUUGGCAGAACUCAAAAUUUCACAUGAAUAUGUGACUCCAUUGACCACUGUGAUUAAUCUGAUGUAUAGAGGCUUAAUUCCAUUUGUCUUGUAUAGCACUUAAUUAAGGGACUAUCAACAAUACAAGCAGCAGGACAAAGUAUUGACCUUAAUCAUGACACCCAGAGUUCUGAAUACCACAAACCAACAGGGUCUACCUUGGAAAGUCAGUGGCUUUCUCCUUAAGGCUCUCAUUUGACCUUUCUACUUGGUUUGCGGCAUUAAUCCAGGUAUAGCUGGAUGUUUUAGGGACGAUUUAGAAUCUGACAUCUGUUGCAAUUCUAUCAUCUAUAACAAUUCUGGUCAGUGAGUUGAGUUGGAGCUGACUACCUUCUAAGGCCCAGGUGGUAUCAUUAAUCACUUCAGCUGAACUCAGGGACAAAUUUCUUUUCUUUUUUCUUUUCUUUUCUUUUCUUUUUUUUUUUUUUUUGAGAUGGAGUCUCGCUCUGUCGCCAGGCUGGAGUGCAGUGCUGUGAUCACGGCUCACUGCAACCUCCACCUCCCAGGUUCAAGCAAUUCCCCUGCCUCAGCCUCCUGAGUAGCCGCAACUACAGGCCUGCAUCACCACGCCUGGCUGAUUUUUUGUAUUUUAGGAGAGACGAGGUUUCAACAUGUUGACCAGGAUGGUCUCGAUCUCCUGACCUCAUGAUCCAUCCGCCUUGGCCUCCCAAAGUGCUGGGAUUACAGGCGUGAGCCACUGCGCCCAGCCUCAGGGACAAAUUUCUUACCACCUUUUCUAAUUAUCUGACUCCCAUCGUUGGGACAACCAACCACAAAGUGCACACAAAUGAGUCUGCCCUCUGGAAAGUUCCACCAAAUAACUAAGGGUGGCCUUAUUUCAGAGGGCUCCCCACAGUCAUCUGAGGGCUAUGUAGUCUAUUCUGGGUUCCGUAAACAAUCUGAAAUUUUACCCUAUUUGCAAGCUAACAAGCUAGUCAGCCACAGUUUCAUCAUGCUAGUAUUAGACUCAAGACUCCUGUGUUAAGGGAUAAUUUAUUACUCAUGGCAAUAGCAGUGACCAGAGCAACAGUAUUAAUUUUUGUGCUGCUGUUCUGAACCCCAAUUCCCAUAUGCCAACAUGAAGAUGCCACAUAAUACUUGUACUGGCAAUGGACUGCAGCAUAGUGUAGUGUAGUGUAGUGUAGUGUAGUGUAGUGUAGUGUAGUGUAGUAUAGUAUAGUACAGUAAAGUACAGUAUAGUACUUAGAGAACCUGAUUUUUUUAUAAUGGGUAGUAAUCAUGCUUGUUCUUUGCUCCAGAAGGAGUCAUUUUCUCUAUCUUGGAACGCUGUUCACUACAAAAACAUCACUGAAAAGAUAGUUUCAGACAAAGCCAGCACCUCUGUUCUCAAGAUAUUCAGAAACCCAGAAAAUUGUCUCCCAAGGGAAGCCUGUAGUUGGGAGAAAUUAUGAGAAACCACUAACUUCUAAUUCAGAUUUUGCAUGAGUUAGGAUUAUAUUCAGCUACAUAUAACAAAAUCACAACUACAGUGGUUUACCUAAACGUGUUUUUUUGUUUGUUUCAUUUUUUUUUCCCUGCAUGUCACCAGAGUCCAGAAGUGCACAGUCCAG
rnacentral:lncRNA from 1 species